rnacentral:misc_RNA from 1 species
GUAACAAGGUUUCCGUAGGUGAACCUGCGGAAGGAUCAUUACCGAGUGCAGGUCUGCCCCCGGGCAGGCCUAACCUCCCACCCGUGAAUACCUGACCAACGUUGCUUCGGCGGUGCGCCCCCCCGGGGGUAGCCGCCGGAGACCACACCGAACCUCCUGUCUUUAGUGUUGUCUGAGCUUGAUAGCAAACCUAUUAAAACUUUCAACAAUGGAUCUCUUGGUUCCGGCAUCGAUGAAGAACGCAGCGAACUGCGAUAAGUAAUGUGAAUUGCAGAAUUCAGUGAAUCAUCGAGUCUUUGAACGCACAUUGCGCCCCCUGGCAUUCCGGGGGGCAUGCCUGUCCGAGCGUCAUUGCUGCCCUUCAAGCCCGGCUUGUGUGUUGGGUCGUCGUCCCCCCCGGGGGACGGGCCCGAAAGGCAGCGGCGGCACCGCGUCCGGUCCUCGAGCGUAUGGGGCUUCGUCACCCGCUCGAUUAGGGCCGGCCGGGCGCCAGCCGGCGUCUCCAACCUUCUAUUUUACCAGGUUGACCUCGGAUCAGGUAGGGAUACCCGCUGAACUUAAGCAUAUC